rnacentral:rRNA from 1 species
UGAACGCGGCGGUAGCUUACACAUGCAGUGAGCGGUACAGGCAUUUUGAUUCAGCUUGCUGAAUCUCGCGCUGACGAGCGGCGGACGGGUGAGUAACGCGUAGGAAUCUACCUAGUAGAAGGGGAUAGCCCGGGGAAACUCGGAUUAAUACCGUAUACGUCCUUAGGGAGAAAGAGGGCUUAGCUUAGAUGCUCUCGCUAUUAGAUGAGCCUGCGUAAGAUUAGCUUGUUGGUGAGGUAAAGGCUCACCAAGGCUACGAUCUUUAGCUGGUCUGAGAGGACGAUCAGCCACAUUGGGACUGAGACACGGCCCAGACUCCUACGGGAGGCAGCAGUGGGGAAUAUUGGACAAUGGGCGCAAGCCUGAUCCAGCCAUACCGCGUGUGUGAAGAAGGCCUUCGGGUUGUAAAGCACUUUAAGUAAGGAAGAAAAGUAUAUUGUUAAUACCAAUAUACCGUGACAUUACUUACAGAAUAAGGACCGGCUAAUUCCGUGCCAGCAGCCGCGGUAAUACGGAAGGUCCAAGCGUUAAUCGGAAUUACUGGGCGUAAAGCGCGCGUAGGUGGUUUAUUAACGUUGGGUGUGACAGCCCCGGGCUCAACCUGGGAAUUGGCUUCCAAAUUGAUUCAUUAGAGUACCCACAGACGAGGGUAGAAUUCCCAGUGUUACGGGGGAAUGCGUAAAUUUGGGACGACUCCAUGGGGAAGGCACCCCUGGUUUUACUGCC